GGCUGGUCUGAAAGUAGUGAGUUACUUCAAAUGACUAUUCAAAAACAUUAACAGACAGAAUUUCUUGUCAUACUCUCCUCCCUUCUCACUACCACACUUGACUAGUCUUAA
ensembl:misc_RNA Y_RNA Y RNA